rnacentral:rRNA from 1 species
CGCUAUGCACUCCUACGGGAGGCAGCAGUGGGGAAUAUUGCACAAUGGGGGAAACCCUGAUGCAGCCAUGCCGCGUGUGUGAAGAAGGCCUUCGGGUUGUAAAGCACUUUCAGUAGGGAGGAAGGUAGUGUAGUUAACACCUGCAUUAUUUGACGUUACCUACAGAAGAAGCACCGGCUAACUCCGUGCCAGCAGCCGCGGUAAUACGGAGGGUGCGAGCGUUAAUCGGAAUUACUGGGCGUAAAGCGCAUGCAGGCGGCCUGUUAAGUCAGAUGUGAAAGCCCGGGGCUUAACCUCGGAAUUGCAUUUGAAACUGGCAGGCUAGAGUCUUGUAGAGGGGGUAGAAUUUCAGGUGUAGCGGUGAAAUGCGUAGAGAUCUGAAGGAAUACCAGUGGCGAAGGCGGCCCCCUGGACAAAGACUGACGCUCAGAUGCGAAAGCGUGGGGAGCAAACAGGAUUAGAUACCCUGGUAG